ACUUAAAUAGCUUAAGUAUAGAGUAUAAUAUUGAAGAUAUUAGGGUAAUAUUAUUAUUUUUAAGUA
rnacentral:tRNA from 1 species